CUAGAGUUUGACUCCUGGCUCAGGACGAACGCUGGCGGCGUGCUUAACACAUGCAAGUCGAACGGGGUACUUGUACCCAGUGGCGAACGGGUGAGUAAUGCGCAAAUAACCUGCCUCAAAGAUGGGGACAACAAGUCGAAAGAUUUGCUAAUACCGAAUGUUGUAAAGUUUUCGCAUGGAGAUUUUACUAAAGAUUUAUCGCUUUGAGAGGGGUUUGCGUCCGAUUAGCUGGUUGGUGAGGUAAAGGCUUACCAAGGCGACGAUCGGUAACCGGUCUGAGAGGAUGAACGGCACAUUGGAACUGAGACACGGUCCAGACUCCUACGGGAGGCAGCAGUGGGGAAUAUUCCACAAUGGGCGAAAGCCUGAUGGAGCGACGCCGCGUGAGUGAAGAAGGGUUUCGACUCGUAAAGCUCUUUUCUUGCAGACGAAUUAGCCUUAGGGGCAGUUGACGGUAUGUAAGGAAUAAGCCACGGCUAACUACGUGCC
rnacentral:rRNA from 1 species